rnacentral:rRNA from 1 species
GAUGAACGCUAGCGGCAGGCUUAACACAUGCAAGUCGAGGGGUAGCAUGAGACAGAGAUUCGUCGAAGUCUUGAUGGCGACCGGCGCAAGGGUGCGUAACGCGUGAGCAACUUGCCCGUUUCAGGGGGAUAACCGGUGGAAACGCCGACUAAUACCCCAUAGUAUUGAGUUUAGGCAUCUUUACUCAAUUAAAGAAUUUCGGAAACGGAUAGGCUCGCGUGACAUUAGCUGGAUGGCGGGGUAACGGCCCACCAUGGCUACGAUGUCUAGGGGUUCUGCGAGGAAGGUCCCCCACACUGGAACUGAGACACGGUCCAGACUCCUACGGGAGGCAGCAGUGAGGAAUAUUGGUCAAUGGUCUGACGACUGAACCAGCCAUGCCGCGUGAAGGUCACGGCCCUAUGGGUCUUAAACUUCUUUUGUAAGGGAGCAAUAAGUCUCACGUGUGGGAUGAUGAGAGUACCUUACGAAUAAGCAUCGGCUAACUCCGUGCCAGCAGCCGCGGUAAAAC